AUCCAUUCAGUAGCAAUACUGAUGAAGAUCUAGUGGCGAACGGGUGCGUAACACGUGAGGAACUUGUCCCGGUCUCUGGGAUAACAGUUGGAAACGACUGCUAAUACCGGAUGACGUCGGAACUUCGCAUGGAGUACUGACGAAAGGGUUACUGGAUCGGGAGAGCCUCGCGGCCUAUCAGCUUGUUGGUGGGGUAAUGGCCUACCAAGGCAUCGACGGGUAGCUGGUCUGAGAGGAUGAUCAGCCACACUGGGACUGAGACACGGCCCAGACUCCUACGGGAGGCAGCAGUGGGGAAUCUUGCACAAUGGGCGAAAGCCUGAUGCAGCAACGCCGCGUGCGGGAAGAAGGCCCUCGGG
rnacentral:rRNA from 1 species